rnacentral:rRNA from 1 species
AGUGAACGCUGGCGGUAGGCCUAACACAUGCAAGUCGAACGGCAGCACAGUAAGAGCUUGCUCUUACGGGUGGCGAGUGGCGGACGGGUGAGGAAUACAUCGGAAUCUACUUUUUCGUGGGGGAUAACGUAGGGAAACUUACGCUAAUACAGCAUACGCCCUACGGGUGAAAGCAGGGGAUCUUCGCACCUUGCGCGAUUGAAUGAGCCGAUGUCGGAUUAGCUAGUUGGCGGGGUAAAGGCCCACCAAGGCGACGAUCCGUAGCUGGUCUGAGAGGAUGAUCGGCCACACUGGAACUGAGACACGGUCCAGAGUCCUACGGGAGGCAGCAGUGGGGAAUAGUGGACAAUGGGCGCAAGCCUGAUCCAGCCAGCCCGCGUGUGUGAAGAAGGCCUUCGGGUUGUAAAGCCCUUUUGUUGGGAAAGAAAAGCAGCAGGUUAAUACCCCGCUGUUCUGGCGGUACCCAAAGAAUAAGCACCGGCUAACUUCGUG